rnacentral:rRNA from 1 species
GACGAACGCUGGCGGCGUGCUUAACACAUGCAAGUCGAACGGAAAGGCCCUGCUUUUGUGGGGUGCUCGAGUGGCGAACGGGUGAGUAACACGUGAGUAACCUGCCCUUGACUUUGGGAUAACUUCAGGAAACUGGGGCUAAUACCGGAUAGGAGCUCCUGCUGCAUGGUGGGGGUUGGAAAGUUUCGGCGGUUGGGGAUGGACUCGCGGCUUAUCAGCUUGUUGGUGGGGUAGUGGCUUACCAAGGCUUUGACGGGUAGCCGGCCUGAGAGGGUGACCGGCCACAUUGGGACUGAGAUACGGCCCAGACUCCUGCGGGAGGCAGCAGUGGGGAAUAUUGCACAAUGGGCGGAAGCCUGAUGCAGCGACGCCGCGUGCGGGAUGACGGCCUUCGGGUUGUAAACCGCUUUCGCCUGUGACGAAGCGUGAGUGACGGUAAUGGGUAAAGAAGCACCGGCUAACUACGUG